rnacentral:rRNA from 1 species
UAUGUGAUCGUCUCUCGCAUAUCAAUAAGCGGAGGAAAAGAAACUAACAAGGAUUCCCCUAGUAACGGCGAGUGAAGCGGGAAGAGCUCAAAUUUGAAAUCUUAAAGGGUUUCCCUUUACGAAUUGUAGUUUAAAGAAGUGUUUUCCGUUGAGGUUUUGGUAAAAGUUCUUUGGAAUAGGACAUCAUAGAGGGUGAGAAUCCCGUAUUUGACCUUUACUUUCAACUUUGUGAUACACUUUCAAAGAGUCGGAUUGUUUGGGAAUGCAGUCCAAAAUGGGUGGUAAAUUUCAUCUAAAGCUAAAUAUUGGCGAGAGACCGAUAGCGAACAAGUACCGUGAGGGAAAGAUGAAAAGAACUUUGAAAAGAGAGUUAAACAGUACGUGAAAUUGUCAAAAGGGAAGCGUUUGACACCAGUGUUGUUUUUCUGAAAAUCAAUUAAAGAACUGUUUAUGCUAAGUUGUUUAGACUUUAUCCAGCUAACUGUUUAGUUUUGAGCUUUUCUUUAAUGCACUUUUCAGUUAACAAGUCAACAUCAAUUUCUUUUGCUGUAAAAAAGCUUGAGGAAGGUGGCUUGAGAUUCGUCUUAAGUGUUUAUAGCCUCUUGCCUAUGCAGUCGGAGAGAUUGAGGUCUGCAGCGUAGAUCCUUCGGGGCUAAAUGCAUUUGUGCUAAGUUAUAGCAUUUUAUAGACAACUUGUUGACUAUGAUUUGUCUUGUAGCUUACUCGCUUAUGUUAUUUUACCUACGCUUAGGAUGUUGAGUAGCGACAUACGCAC